CAAAGGGAGCGAUUCCGGCAACGGAUGGGCAUGCGUGACAUUAGCUAGUUGGCGGGGCAACGGCCCACCAAGGCGACGAUGUCUAGGGGUUCUGAGAGGAAGGUCCCCCACACUGGUACUGAGACACGGACCAGACUCCUACGGGAGGCAGCAGUGAGGAAUAUUGGUCAAUGGGCGCGAGCCUGAACCAGCCAAGUCGCGUGAGGGAUGACGGCCCUACGGGUUGUAAACCUCUUUUGUCGGGGAGCAAAUUCCGUUACGUGUAACGGAGUCGAGAGUACCCGAAGAAAAAGCAUCGGCUAACUCCGUGCCAGCAGCCGCGGUAAUACGGAGGAUGCGAGCGUUAUCCGGAUUUAUUGGGUUUAAAGGGUGCGUAGGCGGACUGUCAAGUCAGCGGUAAAAUACGGGGGCUCAACCUCCGCCCGCCGUUGAAACUGACGGUCUUGAGUGGGCGAGAAGUAUGCGGAAUGCGUGGUGUAGCGGUGAAAUGCAUAGAUAUCACGCAGAACUCCGAUUGCGAAGGCAGCAUACCGGCGCCCAACUGACGCUGAAGCACGAAAGCGUGGGUAUCGAACAGGAUUAGAUACCCUGGUAGUCCACGCAGUAAACGAUGAAUACUAGCUGUCCGGGGCGAAUGAGCCCUGG
rnacentral:rRNA from 1 species